AAUGUUUGACACCGUUGACUUUUUAGCACAUGUUUGACCGUUCGUCUUAUUCAAAAAAUUUAAGUAAUUAUUAAUUAUUUUCUUAUCAUUUGAUUCAUUGUUAAAUAUAUUUUUAUGUAGGCAUAUAAUUUUACAUAUUUCACAAAAUUUUUUGAAUAAGACGAACGGUCAAACAUGUGCUAAAAAGUCAACGGCGUCAAACAUU
rfam:Oryza rufipogon genomic scaffold, chr12